rnacentral:rRNA from 2 species
GAUCCCAUCAGAACUCCGCAGUUAAGUGUGCUUGGGCGAGAGUAGUACUAAGUUGGGUGACCACUUGGGAAGUCCUCGUGUUGCACCCCU